rnacentral:ncRNA from 1 species
UAUAAAGCUAUGAAGAGGAUAAGUAGUCAUUGGUCAAGUAUUUACAGAGAGCCGGGAUAGCUGGAAGCCGGUAAUACUCCCAAAUGAUGAACUCGCCUCUGAGUGUUAAUCCGAAAUUUUAGUAGGGUUAGCCGAGUCCCAUUCUUCGGUACUCGUUACAAAAGAGAACAGAGAAUCUGUUCGCAAGGUGGUUGAACGUUGACCACGAAGAAGGGUGGUACCGCGAAAAAGUUUAUUAACCUUUUUGCCCCUUUA